ensembl:lncRNA
CGGCUCCCCUACAAGGUGGUUAUCCUCAUCCCCAUUUUUGAGAGGGGUUUAAACAAUUUUAAGCGAUUUUCCCAAGGAGAGAUCUUUCUGCCAUCUGGAGACUUCUACACCAAGUUCAGGUUCCGGUCUGUGGAGGACCCAACAUAUGUACAAGCACAAAGUACUCUGCAGAACACAGAGAGAUGUCUUUCUGGAAAGAUUUCUAGACUGGGAAUUAGGAUCCUUCAGUUUCACUGCUGUUUCCACUACCUAUUAACAUAUGACCUUGAGCAAGUCACCUAUUACGGCAGAGCGAAGGUUCCUCACCUCUGAUUGGGUACAUUGCCUACCUGUCCCGCCCAC